AGUGAAGCGGCAACAGCUCAAAUUUGAAAUCUGGCUCCUUUGGGGUCCGAGUUGUAAUUUGCAGAGGGAGCUUUUGGCGUCGGUCGUGGUCUAAGUUCCUUGGAACAGGACGUCACAGAGGGUGAGAAUCCCGUACGUGGCCGCCGGCCUUCGCCUUGUAAAGCCCCUUCGACGAGUCGAGUUGUUUGGGAAUGCAGCUCUAAAUGGGAGGUAAAUUUCUUCUAAAGCUAAAUACCCGCCAGAGACCGAUAGCGCACAAGUAGAGUGAUCGAAAGAUGAAAAGCACUUUGGAAAGAGAGUGAAAAAGCACGUGAAAUUGUUGAAAGGGAAGCGCUUGCGGCCAGACGUGCCCGCGGUUGAUCAUCCAGGCUCCAGCCUGGUGCACUCCUCCGCGGGCAGGCCAGCAUCAGUUCGGGCGGUCGGAUAAAGGCCUCUAUCACGUACCACCCCUCGGGGUGGCCUUAUAGGGGAGGCGCAACACGGCCAGCCCGGACUGAGGUUCCGCGCAUCUGCUAGGAUGCUGGCGUAAUGGCAGCAAGCGGCCCGUCUUGAAACACGGACCAAGGAGUCUAACAUCUAUGCGAGUGUUUGGGUGUCAAGCCCGAGCGCGCAAUGAAAGUGAACGGAGGUGGGAACCCUUACCGGUGCACCAUCGACCGAUCCUGAUGUCUUCGGAUGGAUUUGAGUAAGAGCAUAGCUGUUGGGACCCGAAAGAUGGUGAACUAUGCCUGAAUAGGGUGAAGCCAGAGGAAACUCUGGUGGAGGCUCGCAGCGGUUCUGACGUGCAAAUCGAUCGUCAAAUUUGGGCA
rnacentral:rRNA from 1 species